UGCCUUAGUAGCGGCGAGUGAAGCGGCAAAAGCUCAAAUUUGAAAUCUGGUACUUUCAGUGCCCGAGUUGUAAUUUGAAGAAGGUAUCUUUGGGUCUGGCGCUUGUCUAUGUUUCUUGGAACAGAACGUCACAGAGGGUGAGAAUCCCGUGCGAUGAGAUGAUCCAGACCUAUGUAAAGUUCCUUCGACGAGUCGAGUUGUUUGGGAAUGCAGCUCUAAGUGGGUGGUAAAUUCCAUCUAAAGCUAAAUAUUGGCGAGAGACCGAUAGCGAACAAGUACAGUGAUGGAAAGAUGAAAAGAACUUUGAAAAGAGAGUGAAAAAGUACGUGAAAUUGUUGAAAGGGAAGGGCUUGAGAUCAGACUUGGUAUUUUGUAUGUUACUUCUUCGGGGGUGGCCUCUACAGUUUAUCGGGCCAGCAUCAGUUUGGACGGUAGGACAAUUGCGGUGGAAUGUGGCACGGCUUCGGUUGUGUGUUAUAGCCACUGUCGAUACUGCCAGUCUAGACUGAGGACUGCGGUUUUAUUACCUAGGAUGUUGGCAUAAUGAUCUUAAGUCGC
rnacentral:rRNA from 1 species